UACGAAGGGUGCAAGCGUUAAUCGGAAUUACUGGGCGUAAAGGGUGCGUAGGCGGUUCGUUAAGUCUGUUGUGAAAUCCCCGGGCUCAACCUGGGAAUGGCAAUGGAUACUGGCGGGCUAGAGUGUGUCAGAGGAUGGUGGAAUUCCCGGUGUAGCGGUGAAGUGCGUAGAGAUCGGGAGGAACAUCAGUGGCGAAGGCGGCCAUCUGGGACAACACUGACGCUGAAGCACGAAAGCGUGGGGAGCAAACAGG
rnacentral:rRNA from 1 species